UCCCGCGACUGCCCGCGUUCUUCGGAUUCACUGGGCGUACAGGGUGCGCAGGCGGACGUGUGUGUAAGGUGUGAAAUCCCGAGGCUCAACCUCGGGUCUGCAGUCGAUACGGGCGGACUGGAGUUCGGCAGGGGAGACUGGAAUUCCUGGUGUAGCGGUGAAAUGUGCAGAUAUCUGGAGGAACACCGGUGGCGAAGGCGGCAUCCUGGACCAAUAUUGACGCUGAGGAGCGAAAGCUAGGGGAGCAAACGGG
rnacentral:rRNA from 1 species